AUUGAACGCUGGCGGCAGGCCUAACACAUGCAAGUCGAGGGAUGAAGGGAGCUUGCUCCUGGAUUCAGCGGCGGACGGGUGAGUAAUGCCUAGGAAUCUGCCUGGUAGUGGGGGAUAACGUCCGGAAACGGGCGCUAAUACCGCAUACGUCCUGAGGGAGAAAGUGGGGGAUCUUCGGACCUCACGCUCUCAGAUGAGCCUAGGUCGGAUUAGCUAGUUGGUGGGGUAAAGGCCUACCAAGGCGACGAUCCGUAACUGGUCUGAGAGGAUGAUCAGUCACACUGGAACUGAGACACGGUCCAGACUCCUACGGGAGGCAGCAGUGGGGAAUAUUGGACAAUGGGCGAAAGCCUGAUCCAGCCAUGCCGCGUGUGUGAAGAAGGUCUUCGGAUUGUAAAGCACUUUAAGUUGGGAGGAAGGGCAGUAAGUUAAUACCUUGCUGUUUUGACGUUACCAACAGAAUAAGCACCGGCUAACUUCGUG
rnacentral:rRNA from 1 species